rnacentral:lncRNA from 1 species
GGGAGGCGAGGAAUACCCACUAUGGCCUCUGUGGGAUCUCCGUUAAGCUCCCUGGAUAUUGUGGGGGCAGUAGGCCCACGGGUGAGCAAGCGCUCGGAGGAGGGAGGCUCAUCUUUCAACAGAACUGUUGCUCUGGAGCAGAUUGCCUUUUCCUAGACCUCCUGGCUUCCCCCACCUACCUGUGGCCACCAAAGGGACAUAGAUGACUCCAUCCUACACUGGGCUACAGAUAAGCUGUAUCUCUGUGACCUCAGAACCCAGAUUAAAGCC